CUGAGUACGGCGGAACACGUGAAAUUCCGUCGGAAUCCGGGAGGACCAUCUCCCAAGGCUAAAUACUCCCUAGUGACCGAUAGUGAACCAGUACCGUGAGGGAAAGGUGAAAAGCACCCCGGAAGGGGAGUGAAACAGUUCCUGAAACCGUGUGCCUACAAGUAGUUAGAGCCCGUUAAUGGGUGAUAGCGUGCCUUUUGUAGAAUGAACCGGCGAGUUACGAUUUGUUGCAAGGUUAAGCGGAAAAAGCGGAGCCGUAGCGAAAGCGAGUCUGAAUAGGGCGCAUAAGUAACAGGUCGUAGACCCGAAACCAGGUGAUCUACCCAUGUCCAGGAUGAAGGUAAGGUAAUACUUACUGGAGGUCCGAACCCACGCACGUUGAAAAGUGCGGGGAUGAGGUGUGGGUAGCGGAGAAAUUCCAAUCGAACUUGGAGAUAGCUGGUUCUCUCCGAAAUAGCUUUAGGGCUAGCCUCGAGGUAAAGAGUCAUGGAGGUAGAGCACUGUUUGGACUAGGGGCCCUUCUCGGGUUACCGAAUUCAGAUAAACUCCGAAUGCCAUGUACUUAUACUCGGGAGUCAGACUGCGAGUGAUAAGAUCCGUAGUCGAAAGGGAAACAGCCCAGACCACCAGUUAAGGUCCCCAAAUAUAUGUUAAGUGGAAAAGGAUGUGGGGUUGCUUAGACAACCAGGAUGUUGGCUUAGAAGCAGCCACCAUUGAAAGAGUGCGUAAUAGCUCACUGGUCGAGUGACCCCGCGCCGAAAAUGUACCGGGGCUAAACAUAUUACCGAAACUGUGGAUGAACCUCUUUAGAGGUUCGUGGUAGGAGAGCGUUCUAAGGGCGGUGAAGUCAGACCGGAAGGACUGGUGGAGCGCUUAGAAGUGAGAAUGCCGGUAUGAGUAGCGAAA
rnacentral:rRNA from 1 species